rnacentral:rRNA from 1 species
UACAGAGGUGGCAAGCGUUGUUCGGAAUUAUUGGGCGUAAAGCGCGCGCAGGUGGUUUCUUAAGUCUGAUGUGAAAGCCCACGGCUCAACCGUGGAGGGUCAUUGGAAACUGGGGAACUUGAGUGCAGAAGAGGAAAGUGGAAUUCCAAGUGUAGCGGUGAAAUGCGUAGAGAUUUGGAGGAACACCAGUGGCGAAGGCGACUUUCUGGUCUGUAACUGACACUGAGGCGCGAAAGCGUGGGGAGCGAACAGG